rnacentral:misc_RNA from 1 species
GAAAUGCGAUAAGUAGUGUGAAUUGCAGAAUUCAGUGAAUCAUCGAAUCUUUGAACGCACAUUGCGCCCUUUGGUAUUCCUUAGGGCAUGCCUGUUCGAGCGUCAUCUAAACCCUCAAGCCCUGCUUGGUGUUGGGUGCCUGUCCCGCCUCCGCGCGCGGACUCACCUCAAAUCCAUUGGCGGCCCCCGCGUCGGCCACGAGCGCAGCAGAAACGCGAACUCGUGAGCCCGUCCGGGCGGCUCCCAGAAGCUACACCCACCCAGUUUGACCUCGGAUCAGGUAGGGAUACCCGCUGAACUUAAGC